GCCUUAAGCAUAGCAUCUCUGUUUCCAGAAUCUUUAUCAUCCACAUGAUUUGGAGCUGCUAGCUUGAAUCCAUUCUGCAGAAUAUCUUGAGAAUCAGACAGUGACUUAUUCAUCCGAGAAACAGCAUUUGCAAACUCCUUAUACUUCUGGAGUUGGGCAAGUCCAUUAUUGAUUUGUUGAGGAUCUAUACGCAAAUGCAAUGGUUUUGCAGUUGGCACAGGAUGCUCAGUGUGGAGAUCAAGAUUACUUUGAAUAAAUUUUUCAGCAGAUUCUGUAAUUGUCUUCUGUUCAGAAAUAUCAGAAUGAGAAUGAGAAAU
rnacentral:misc_RNA from 1 species